UACAGAGGGUGCGAGCGUUGUCCGGAAUCACUGGGCGUAAAGUGUGCGCAGGCGGCAGAGCAAGUCGAGUGUGAAAGCCCCGGGCUUAACUUGGGAAUUGCGCUCGAAACUACUUUGCUGGAGUGUGGCAGAGGAAGGUGGAAUUCCACGUGUAGCGGUGAAAUGCGUAGAGAUGUGGAGGAACACCAAUGGCGAAGGCAGCCUUCUGGGCCAACACUGACGCUCAUGCACGAAAGCGUGGGGAGCAAACAGG
rnacentral:rRNA from 1 species